rnacentral:rRNA from 1 species
UACGUAGGGGGCAAGCGUUGUCCGGAUUUAUUGGGCGUAAAGAGCUCGUAGGCGGUCCAUUAAGUCGGAAGUGAAAUCUCAGGGCUCAACCCUGAAAUUGCUUUCGAUACUGGCGGACUUGAGGCAAGUAGGGGAGAGCGGAAUUCCUGGUGUAGCGGUGAAAUGCGCAGAUAUCAGGAGGAACACCGGUGGCGAAGGCGGCUCUCUGGGCUUGUUCUGACGCUGAGGAGCGAAAGCGUGGGGAGCGAACAGG